UACGGGGGGAGCAAGCGUUGUUCGGAUUUACUGGGCGUAAAGGGCGCGUAGGCGGUCAGCACAAGUCAGUUGUGAAAUCUCCGGGCUUAACUCGGAAAGGUCAACUGAUACUGUGCGACUAGAGUGCGGAAGGGGCAACUGGAAUUCUCGGUGUAGAGGUGAAAUUCGUAGAUAUCGAGAGGAACACCGGUGGCGAAGGCGGCCAACUGGACGAAUACUGACGCUGAGACUCGAAAGCGUGGGGAGCAAACAGG
rnacentral:rRNA from 1 species